GGGGCCAUAGCUCAGUUGGAAGAGCGCCUGCCCUGCAAGCAGGAGGUCGCCGGUUCGAGCCCGGCUGGCUCCA
rnacentral:tRNA from 1 species